CGUCUAUAUACGUAUAGCAUAUCAAUAAGCGGAGGAAAAGAAACUAACUAGGAUUCCCUCAGUAACGGCGAGUGAAGCGGGAAGAGCUCAAAUUUGAAAUCUUCAAGGUUCUACCUUGACGAAUUGUAGUUUAAAGAAGUGUUUUCUGUUGGAGUUUUGGUAAAAGUUCUUUGGAAUAGGACAUCAUAGAGGGUGAGAAUCCCGUAUUUGACCAUUAUUUCCAACUUUGUGAUACACUUUCAAAGAGUCGGAUUGUUUGGGAAUGCAGUCCAAAAUGGGUGGUAAAUUUCAUCUAAAGCUAAAUACUGGCGAGAGACCGAUAGCGAACAAGUACCGUGAGGGAAAGAUGAAAAGAACUUUGAAAAGAGAGUUAAACAGUACGUGAAAUUGUCAAAAGGGAAGCGUUUGACACCAGUGUUGUUUUCUCGAAAAUCAAUUAAAAAUGGCGGGAUUUUGUGUUGUAUUGACUUUAUCAGCUUUCUGCACUUUUUUCCUGUCUUUUUUAAUGCACUUUUCGUUUAACAAGUCAACAUCAAUUUCUUUUGCUGUAAAAGAGUCAUUGGAAGGUGGCUUUUCUUUCGGAGAAAAGUGUUUAUAGCCUUUGGACUUCUGCAAUCGGAGAGAUUGAGGUCUGCAGCGUAGAUCCUUCGGGGUUAGAUACAUUUGUGCUAAGCUAUAGCCUUUCAUAGACAACUUGUUGACUAUGAUCAGUCAUGUAGCUUACUCGCUUAUGCUAUUUUACCUACGCUUAGGAUGUUGAUCUGUAGUGCGUGCGC
rnacentral:rRNA from 1 species